GAGUUGAUCUUGGCUCAGGAUGAACGCUGGCGGCGUGCUUAACACAUGCAAGUCGAACGAAGCGCCUUAUUUGAUUUUCUUCGGAACUGAAGAUUUGGUGACUGAGUGGCGGACGGGUGAGUAACGCGUGGGUAACCUGCCCUGUACAGGGGGAUAACAAUCAGAAAUGACUGCUAAUACCGCAUAAGACCACAGCACCGCAUGGUGCAGGGGUAAAAACUCCGGUGGUACAGGAUGGACCCGCGUCUGAUUAGCUGGUUGGUGAGGUAACGGCUCACCAAGGCGACGAUCAGUAGCCGGCUUGAGAGAGUGAACGGCCACAUUGGGACUGAGACACGGCCCAAACUCCUACGGGAGGCAGCAGUGGGGAAUAUUGCACAAUGGGGGAAACCCUGAUGCAGCAACGCCGCGUGAGUGAAGAAGUAUUUCGGUAUGUAAAGCUCUAUCAGCAGGGAAGAAAGUGACGGUACCUGACUAAGAAGCCCCGGCUAACUACGUGCCAGCCGCCGCCGUAAC
rnacentral:rRNA from 1 species